AUGGCCCGCUCGUCGGGAGACGUGGUGCGGUGGACGAAGCGCAUCUCGGCGCUGGCGAGGGGCGGGCGCGCGGCGGAGGCCGUGGCAGAGUUCUCCAGGAUGGACGCGGCGCCGAACGCGCUCACGCUGGCGAGCGUCCUCCCGGCGUGCGCCAGGCUGCGGAGCCUCGGCCUGGGGCGGGCCAUCCACGGGUUCUGGCUCCGGCGAGGGGGCGGCCCCGGCGCGAACCCGAUCGUGGACAACGCCGUGCUGGACGUGUACGCCAAGUGCGGGGCCCUCCGCAGCGCGCGCCGCGUGUUCGACGGAAUGCCCGAGCGGGACGUCUUCUCCUGGACCGCGAUGGCGUGGGGGCUCGCGAGGGGCGGCAGCCCGCAGGACGCCGUCGCGAUGUUCCGGGCGAUGCUCUCCGACGGCGCCCGCCCGAACGAGGCCACCUUGGUCAGCGUCCUGCACGCCGUGGCGUCCACCGGCGCUCUGGCAUGCGGCAAGCUGCUGCACUCGUACGCGCUGAAGCGAAGGCUCGGCGGCGAGCAGGUCGUCGCCAACGCGCUGGUCGACGCCUACGCCAAGUGCGGCGAGGCGCGGCUGGCGUUCGAGGUGUUCGACCUGCUCCCGGACAAGGACCUGGUCUCCUGGGCCACCGUCAUGAGGGCCAUGGCCGUGCACGGCCGGUGCAGGGAGGCGCUGCAGCUCUUCUCCGUGAUGCUGCGCCAAGGUGUUCGACCGGACGGCGCCGUGUUCCUGUCGUUGCUCUAUGCCUGCUGCCAUGCCGGGCAGGUAGACCAGACGCUGCACCUCCUGGGCGCCAUGGGAAGGAUCUACGGGGUCGCGCCGCAGCGGGAGCACUACACGUGCGUGCUCGACGCCUGCGGCCGGGCCGGGAGGCUCGACGGAGUUGGAGAAAUCUUCAGGCGGAUGCCCGUGGAAUGCGAUCAGCAGGUACUUGGAGCUUACUGCUCCCAUGCAAGUGCGAGUAAAGCAACCGGCGUUGCCGGCGAGCGGUUCCUCUGGAAGAGGUUUCUCGCCGGAGAAGUGGCUGCCGGGCAGGAAAUGUACGUGCUCAUGUCCAAGUCGCUGGCUGAUGCAGGGCGAUGGGACGACGUUUGUUCUGUCAGGGAGAGGGCUGCUGCAACAAAGAUCGACGAGGCUGCUGCUUGCACUUGGAUCCAAGUGUAG
rnacentral:rRNA from 1 species